rnacentral:rRNA from 1 species
CACGGGGGGGGGCGAGCGUUAUUCGACAUUACUGGGCGCAAAGGGUACGUAGCGUUCUUAAUUAACAUGGUUGAAAGGCUAGCUGCAAUGUUAGCAUACUGCUGUUAAUGUAGAAUAGAGACAUUGUCAAGUUAGUAGAAUUACUAAAGGAGGGGUAGAAUCCUGCGAUCUUAUUAAGAAUGCCAAUUGUGGAGACGAAUAGCUCGUCGAUGUCUGACGUUGAGGUACGGAGGUUUGGGAAUCAAACAGG